GGGGAGGAGCAGACGGGUGAGUAACUUCUUGGGAAUCGAGGAUUUUCUACGGAAUAACGCAGGGAAACUUGUGCUAAUACCGUAUUACCCCUUCGGGGGAAAGAUUUAUCGGGAAAGGAUGAGCCCGCGUUGGAUUAGCUAGUUGGUGGGGUAAAGGCCUACCAAGGCGACGAUCCAUAGCUGGUCUGAGAGGAUGAUCAGCCACAUUGGGACUGAGACACGGCCCAAACUCCUACGGGAGGCAGCAGUGGG
rnacentral:rRNA from 1 species